AGGACGAACGCUGGCGGCGCGCUUAACACAUGCAAGUCGAGCGAGAACCGGGACUUCGGUCCCGGGGACAGCGGCGAACGGGUGAGUAACACGUGGGUAAUCGACCCUCGGCACCGGGAUAGCCCGAGGAAACUCGGAUUAAUACCGGAUGGCCCCUCCGACUCUCGAGUCGGUCGGGAAAGGUAGCUUAGGCCUCUGGCCGGGACGAGCCCGCGGCGGAUUAGCUUGUUGGUGGGUAAUGGCCUACCAAGGCGACGAUCCGUAGCUGGUCUGAGAGGACGAUCAGCCACACUGGGACUGAGACACGGCCCAGACUCCUACGGGAGGCAGCAGUGGGGAAUCUUGCGCAAAUGGGCGAAAAGCCUGACGCAGCGACGCCGCGUGAGGGAAGAAGGCCU
rnacentral:rRNA from 1 species